AAGAAGAAGACGAUAUAUUUAUAUAUUUAGAAAAAAUUUAACUUUUAACUUUAAUAUAUUAUUUUGCAUGUGCAGCACGGAUUUGUCUAUCGUGAAAACAACAAGUCACCAGGAUACUAUGAUGGCAGGUCAGUACCAAAUCCACAAUAUUUUAGUUAAAUUAUAGAUAUAUGUACGCAGAUCUUGAAAAGAAGUACAAAAUCAUGUUUCGAGACCAUGUUUUAGAAGAACGAAAUCUUGAAUUUUAAAUCCUGAAUCCGGUACUGAUGCAGAUACUGGACCAUGUGGAAGCUACCUAUGUUCGGAUGCACUGAUGCCACCCAAGUGUUGGCUGAGGUAGAAGAGGCGAAGAAGGCAUACCCACAGGCCUGGAUCCGUAUCAUUGGAUUCGACAACGUGCGUCAAGUGCAGUGCAUCAGUUUCAUCGCCUACAAGCCAGAAGGCUACUAAGUUUCAUAUUAGGACAACUUACCCUAUUGUCUGACUUUAGGGGCAGUUUGUUUGAAAUGUUACUUAGCUUCUUUUUUUUUCUUCUUCCCACAAAAAUUGUUUUAUGUUUCCUACUUUCUAUUCGGUGUAUGUUUUUGGAUUCCUACCAAGUUAUGAGAACUAAUAAUAAUUAUGAUUUGGUGCUUUGUUUGUAAAUUUUGUUGUUUCACAUUCGUGUGGCGUAUAUGAGUUUCAUCUUGAUAAUAUCUGCAAAUCUUAAAUGCAAAUUAUGGUCCACACACGCACCAUAAAACACCCUCACUCCAACCAAUUUCAGAUGAUAGAAAAAUUUCAAGAUGCUCGAUAGCUACAUUUUUUAUAUACAAUAAUAGUCUAUUUGGCCAAGCUUCUAUAAUCAGUUUAUUUUGAAAAAUAUUUUUUUCAAAAAUACUUUUGUUGAGAAGCAGCUCGUGAUUGACUAAUUAAUCUGAAAAGUACUUCUGAGUAACAAAUAGUGAUUGGCCAAGCUGUAAAAAAGUAUUUCUAAGUUAUUUUUCUCAAAAAUAUUUUUCAAAAAAGUGUUUCUGGAGAGAAACUACUUUUUUCGGCGUCUCCAAAACUGUUUUUGCUUCUACUUAAAAGCACUUUUAUAUAUAAAAGCUUAGCCAAACACUUUAACUUUGAAAAAAAUAUUUUUUUUGAGAAAAAAAAGUGCUCUUGAUCUUGGAAAAGCUUGGCCAAACAAGCUAUAAGUGUCUAAUAGAUGGUGGAAAAAAGUGUCUAACAGAUAAAGGCCUCAAUUAAGGUGUCUAAAUGAAACUUGGUGACAAUUUUAAGGGAUUAUCAAUGUAUUUGACAUUUUAGGUAAUAUCUCCUGUCCUAAAUGCAAAUGGUCCAUGCAACCCCCCAACCACUUUGAGAUUAUGAAAGUUAUUCCACCAUUCCUUGAGUGUUUUUCAGAGACCAACUAUGUUGAUCAACAAUAUAGUGUUUCCAAAUACCUAAAUAUAUAUAGUGGUCAGUUGCAGUCAGUGGGUGUUGAGCAUUAUUGGCCUCCGGAACCAUUUAAAAUGGUGUGUAACAAGUCCUAUUUGCGUAAAAAAUAGGUGCAGAAGAGAACGCGUAUACGAAACCAAAUGGAUGUUAGUGAUACUGUUUAUGCGCGCAAAUGUGGUAUAUGCUCGCAAACAGGACACGACCGUAGAAAAUAUCCUUUGGGUGGAAUCAGUAAUCA
rnacentral:lncRNA from 1 species